rnacentral:piRNA from 7 species
UUCUGGGUCGGGGUUUCGUACGUA